AACGAACGCUGGCGGCAUGCCUAACACAUGCAAGUCGAACGAGACCUUCGGGUCUAGUGGCGCACGGGUGCGUAACGCGUGGGAACCUGCCCUUAGGUUCGGAAUAACUCCCCGAAAGGGGUGCUAAUACCGGAUAAUGUCUUCGGACCAAAGAUUUAUCGCCUUUGGAUGGGCCCGCGUUGGAUUAGCUAGUUGGUAGGGUAAAAGCCUACCAAGGCGACGAUCCAUAGCUGGUCUGAGAGGAUGAUCAGCCACACUGGGACUGAGACACGGCCCAGACUCCGACGGAAGGCAGCAGUGGGGAAUAUUGGACAAUGGGCGAAAGCCUGAUCCAGCAAUGCCGCGUGAGUGAUGAAGGCCGUAGGGUUGUAAAGCUCGUUUACCCGGGAUGAUAAUGACAGUACCGGGAGAAUAAGCACCGGCUAACUCCGUG
rnacentral:rRNA from 1 species